rnacentral:rRNA from 1 species
CGGUUAAGUUAGAAAGGGCGCACGGUGGAUGCCUUGGCACUAGGAGCCGAUGAAGGACGGGACGAACACCGAUAUGCUUCGGGGAGCUGUAAGCAAGCUUUGAUCCGGAGAUUUCCGAAUGGGGAAACCCACUGCUCGUAAUGGAGCAGUAUCCAUAUCUGAAUUCAUAGGAUAUGAGAAGGCAGACCCGGGGAACUGAAACAUCUAAGUACCCGGAGGAAGAGAAAGCAAAUGCGAUUCCCUGAGUAGCGGCGAGCGAAACGGGAUUAGCCCAAACCAAGAGGCUUGCCUCUUGGGGUUGUAGGACACUCUGUACGGAGUUACAAAGGAACGAGGUAGAUGAAGAGGUCUGGAAAGGCCCGCCAUAGGAGGUAACAGCCCUGUAGUCAAAACUUCGUUCUCUCCUGAGUGGAUCCUGAGUACGGCGGAACACGUGAAAUUCCGUCGGAAUCCGGGAGGACCAUCUCCCAAGGCUAAAUACUCCCUAGUGACCGAUAGUGAACCAGUACCGUGAGGGAAAGGUGAAAAGCACCCCGGAAGGGGAGUGAAAGAGAUCCUGAAACCGUGUGCCUACAAGUAGUCAGAGCCCGUUAACGGGUGAUGGCGUGCCUUUUGUAGAAUGAACCGGCGAGUUACGAUCCCGUGCAAGGUUAAGUUUGAAAAGACGGAGCCGCAGCGAAAGCGAGUCUGAAUAGGGCGCAUGAGUACGUGGUCGUAGACCCGAAACCAGGUGAUCUACCCAUGUCCAGGGUGAAGUUCAGGUAACACUGAAUGGAGGCCCGAACCCACGCACGUUGAAAAGUGCGGGGAUGAGGUGUGGGUAGGGGUGAAAUGCCAAUCGAACCUGGAGAUAGCUGGUUCUCUCCGAAAUAGCUUUAGGGCUAGCCUCAAGGUAAGAGUCUUGGAGGUAGAGCACUGAUUGGACUAGGGGCCCCUACCGGGUUACCGAAUUCAGUCAAACUCCGAAUGCCAAAGACUUAUCCUUGGGAGUCAGACUGCGAGUGAUAAGAUCCGUAGUCGAAAGGGAAACAGCCCAGACCGCCAGCUAAGGUCCCAAAGUAUACGUUAAGUGGAAAAGGAUGUGGAGUUGCUUAGACAACCAGGAUGUUGGCUUAGAAGCAGCCACCAUUUAAAGAGUGCGUAAUAGCUCACUGGUCGAGUGACUCUGCGCCGAAAAUGUACCGGGGCUAAACGUAUCACCGAAGCUGCGGACUGUUCUUGCGAACAGUGGUAGGAGAGCGUUCUAAGGGCUGUGAAGCGAGACCGGAAGGACUCGUGGAGCGCUUAGAAGUGAGAAUGCCGGUAUGAGUAGCGAAAGAGGGGUGAGAAUCCCCUCCACCGAAUGCCUAAGGUUUCCUGAGGAAGGCUCGUCCGCUCAGGGUUAGUCCUCCUCACCAUUUGAGCAAUGGGGGGACGCAGGAGGAUAGGGUAAGCGCGGUAUUGGAUAUCCGCGUCCAAGCAGUUAGGCUGGGAAAUAGGCAAAUCCGUUUCCCGUAAGGCUGAGCUGUGAUGGCGAGCGAAAUAUAGUAGCGAAGUUCCUGAUUCCACACUGCCAAGAAAAGCCUCUAGCGAGGUGAGAGGUGCCCGUACCGCAAACCGACACAGGUAGGCGAGGAGAGAAUCCUAAGGUGAUCGAGAGAACUCUCGUUAAGGAACUCGGCAAAAUGACCCCGUAACUUCGGGAGAAGGGGUGCUCUGUUAGGGUGCAAGCCCGAGAGAGCCGCAGUGAAUAGGCCCAGGCGACUGUUUAGCAAAAACACAGGUCUCUGCGAAGCCGUAAGGCGAAGUAUAGGGGCUGACGCCUGCCCGGUGCUGGAAGGUUAAGAGGAGCGCUUAGCGUAAGCGAAGGUGCGAAUUGAAGCCCCAGUAAACGGCGGCCGUAACUAUAACGGUCCUAAGGUAGCGAAAUUCCUUGUCGGGUAAGUUCCGACCCGCACGAAAGGCGCAACGAUCUGGGCACUGUCUCAACGAGAGACUCGGUGAAAUUAUAGUACCUGUGAAGAUGCAGGUUACCCGCGACAGGACGGAAAGACCCCGUGGAGCUUUACUGCAGCCUGAUAUUGAAUGUUGGUACAGCUUGUACAGGAUAGGUAGGAGCCUUGGAAACCGGAGCGCCAGCUUCGGUGGAGGCAUCGGUGGGAUACUACCCUGGCUGUAUUGACCUUCUAACCCGCUGCCCUUAUCGGGCAGGGAGACAGUGUCAGGUGGGCAGUUUGACUGGGGCGGUCGCCUCCUAAAAGGUAACGGAGGCGCCCAAAGGUUCCCUCAGAAUGGUUGGAAAUCAUUCGCAGAGUGUAAAGGCACAAGGGAGCUUGACUGCGAGACCUACAAGUCGAGCAGGGACGAAAGUCGGGCUUAGUGAUCCGGUGGUUCCGCAUGGAAGGGCCAUCGCUCAACGGAUAAAAGCUACCCCGGGGAUAACAGGCUUAUCUCCCCCAAGAGUCCACAUCGACGGGGAGGUUUGGCACCUCGAUGUCGGCUCAUCGCAUCCUGGGGCUGUAGUCGGUCCCAAGGGUUGGGCUGUUCGCCCAUUAAAGCGGUACGCGAGCUGGGUUCAGAACGUCGUGAGACAGUUCGGUCCCUAUCCGUCGCGGGCGCAGGAAAUUUGAGAGGAGCUGUCCUUAGUACGAGAGGACCGGGAUGGACGCACCGCUGGUGUACCAGUUGUUCUGCCAAGGGCAUCGCUGGGUAGCUAUGUGCGGACGGGAUAAGUGCUGAAAGCAUCUAAGCAUGAAGCCCCCCUCAAGAUGAGAUUUCCCAUUCCUAUAAGGAAGUAAGAUCCCUGAAAGAUGAUCAGGUUGAUAGGUCUGAGGUGGAAGUGUGGCGACACAUGGAGCUGACAGAUACUAAUCGAUCGAGGACUUAACCUAAA